GAGCGUGGGGAUCCCGCAGCGCAGGGCGAGGCAGCGCCUCAGCGGGAACCUGUAGCCGCACCUCGUACGGCUUCCACUGAAGGCCCCUUCGCCAUCGUCACUGCCCUCCUUUGGACUCUCUAAUAGCUCCAUGCCUUUCUUACAUUGGUGGCACCCAGAGCUGCCCCCAUCACUGGAGCCAGUGACAUUUGAGAAAACCUUAGUGUUCCUCACCUGCUUUCUGUCCAAGCAGCCUCUUCAAGCACUUCUCACAUCUAGCCAGAGUUGGAUUCACAUUUCAGAGCGGUGUCUGAAGAGUCUCACAAGAAGCCUUUUUCAUGGAAAGCCACACCUCAGAGAAUUGUGAAUUACUGCAGUAUUACUUCCAUCAAGUAUUAGCAUCUGGAUAUGGCUGUGCUCAACUAAUUGUGUCUUGGAUUAAAUCACCAGAUGACAGCUGAUACUACACCAUUCUUUCCCUAAAUACAAGUACAUUUUCAGCCCAUUGUGUCAACUCCCAUUGAGCUGUAAGGAAAGGGAGGAGAUCCUGCCUUCAGCUAUGUCUCCUUCGGGGUGCAAUCAGUGGAAAUAAAGCAGAGAAAGAAACUGGAAAAAUGAAGAUUAAAGGAUUGAGCAAGCCCUGGCACUGCAGAGAGGCUGUCAGGACAGUCUGUGCCCAGUGCCCAGUGCUCCCUUCCCCAGUGCAUCUCCCAGCACAAAGGCUUUGGGAGAGGGGAUGCACGUGAUCAGCUCAUGUCUUCACAGAUCUAUCUGAAAUUUACAACAGAGACAAAGAGCUGUGAC